CCUACGGGUGGCAGCAGUGGGGAAUCUUGCACAAUGGGGGAAACCCUGAUGCAGCGACGCCGCGUGAGCGAUGAAGCCCUUCGGGGUGUAAAGCUCUUUCGGCAGGGAAGAUAAUGACGGUACCUGCAGAAGCAGCUGCGGCUAACUACGUGCCAGCAGCCGCGGUAAUACGUAGGCAGCGAGCGUUGUUCGGAGUUACUGGGCGUAAAGGGUGCGUAGGCGGCCGAUUAAGUUUGUCGUGAAAUCUCCCGGCUCAACUGGGAGGGUGCGGCGGAUACUGACCGGCUGGAGUGCGGGAGAGGAGAGUGGAAUUCCUGGUGUAGCGGUGAAAUGCGUAGAUAUCAGGAGGAACACCGGCGGUGUAGACGGCUCUCUGGACCGUAACUGACGCUGAGGCACGAAAGCGUGGGUAGCAAACAGGAUUAGAUACCCGAGUAGUC
rnacentral:rRNA from 1 species